rnacentral:rRNA from 1 species
UACGUAGGGGGCAAGCGUUAUCCGGAUUUACUGGGUGUAAAGGGAGCGUAGGUGGUUCGGUAAGUCAGAGGUGAAAGCCCGGAGCUCAACUCCGGAAUUGCCUUUAAGACUGCAUCGCUCGAAUCAUGGAGAGGUGAGUGGAAUUCCGAGUGUAGAGGUGAAAUUCGUAGAUAUUCGGAAGAACACCAGUGGCGAAGGCGACUCACUGGACAUGUAUUGACGCUGAGGUGCGAAAGCGUGGGGAGCAAACAGG